AUCCUAGCAUGAAAUAGUGAUCUCCAUUGAAAAGGAGUCAUAAGGCAAGGAAUCCGGAUCCUCAAGCGGACAAGCCGGUGGAGACACGCGUUGAAAGGAGCGCUCUAAAGGUGAUGCUCGUUUGUUGUGGAUGUUGAUCAAGCAAUGGAAUCAAGAACCGAACACAAGUUUUGAAUGCUUCCGCGCUAAUCUAAUCUAGUUUAAAACAUAUUGUGUUGUAAACACUUCUAAACGUUGAAUAUUUUAAUCUACUUAGUUGACUAUGUUUA